GUGCUCACUUCAGCAGCACAUACACUAAAAUUAGAAUGAUGCAGAGAAGAUUCACGUGGCCCCUGCAUUCGGAUAACACAUAAAUUCGUGAAGCAUUCCAUAUUUAA
rnacentral:snRNA from 1 species